GUUAGAGAAGACCACAAGGCCUAAUUCUUCCUCUUCCUCCUCCCACGUUGGCCAUCUCAUCAAGGUAGUUAUGCUGUGAUUGUAAGUUAUUGAAAUUUGCCAUUUAAUAUCUUUGAAACUAUGGACAAGUCAUUACACCUUCCUGACCCUUGGCAUCCUCAUCAACAAAGUAGGCAUAAGCAUGGCACCUACCUCCUAGGAUCACUGUAAAGACUAAAUAAGAUAACCUUUAUAAUUUAAAUUUAUAACUUAACACAGGGUUCAGCAUGUUAUGUUCCAUAAUUGGAACAGUGUCAUUACCUUCUCAACUGGGGAAGUUAAAAUUAAGAGUUUUAUAGAUACAUCACCUGGGGGCAUGAGAAUGACCAGAUUUUCCAUAAGUUUGCUGAUACAACUGAGAUAUCCAGAAACUUCUGCAUGUUGUUAGUAUGCACAGAGGCUUCAAGCCAUAUUUGAGAAAGGGAAUGCUGAGCUAAAUCAAGUUACAUAUUCAUUUGUUUGUUUAUUCCAUAGCAACUCCUUUCUCCAAAAGAUAUUUGAAAUAGCCAGAAGAGAAAUAGAGAUAAUACAGCAGGAAAUAAAAUUCAAUGUGGAAAAUACAUUUCAAGAGGAGAAUAAAGCUUGUGCCCCAAGGUGGCCAAAAUGGAGAGCAGAGCCACCAGACCUACAGAGACAGGGAAUGUCUCCUUGGCACCCAGGAGAGCAGAUGUCUAGAGGAGUCUUCAACAAAUGCAGGAUGAUGACAGGAGAGGAGAGAGAUCCCUAGGAAUGGCUAUGCUUGAACUUCACACCAGUCUGGUAGGUAGAGACUUGGAGAAGAUUUAAGUUGAUUUAAGGAAAAAAAAAAUACACUUUUUGCAUAGCAAAAUUUGGGCUUGAAAAUUCACAUCAUGAUUUUAUCCCAUUCAACUUCACAGCAUCUGAAAGGUUAGUGUUAUACCUAUUUUACAAAUGAGGUCCUGAAGACUCAGAAAAGAGGAGAGAUUGGCCCAACUCUUCUGUGUGAGCCAUGAGUACUAAAAGGAAUAGCAGACUAUAUGUUCUGGCAUAACUAUUUAAUUCUUCAUAUGACAAUUAUUUCCUCGUAUAAUCAUUACUUAAAGGUAUGCUUUCUGUUUGUUUUCUUUUUAAGUGUGUUGAGUCAUUCAGGAAAGGAAGCCUGUUUGGGGAAUAGUUCCAAUUAUGUCCAAAAUAUCUGAAUACAAAGUAAAAAAAAAUAAUUAAAAUAAAACAU
rnacentral:lncRNA from 12 species